rnacentral:rRNA from 1 species
AUGGACGCGGCUCACUGCGAGGGAGGUCGUGGACGUGCUUGGAACCGCGGGGAGGCAUCGGUGGUGGAGAUCGACGGUGAUGGCGCCGUGGCCGUGGUGGGGAAGACGACUGGAUGGCGAGGUUGUGGAGGGCUUCAGCUCGAACUGGAGGUUGUAGGCGAUGUACAUGUCGGCGAUGAAGCUCCUGGUCAUCAUCCCAAAAGCCGGGGAGCAUGGUGUCCAUGA